rnacentral:rRNA from 1 species
UACAGAGGGGGCGAGCGUUGUUCGGAAUUACUGGGCGUAAAGGGCGCGUAGGCGGCCUGCUAUGUCGAACGUGAAAUCCCCGGGCUCAACCCGGGAACUGCGUCCGAAACUGGCAGGCUUGAAUCCGGGAGAGGGAUGUGGAAUUCCAGGUGUAGCGGUGAAAUGCGUAGAUAUCAGGAAGAACACCCGUGGCGAAAGCGGCUCUCUGGAACGGUACUGACGCUGAGACGCGAAAGCGUGGGGAGCGAACAGG